CCUGUUUCUCCUUCCUCCUGUUAGCCUUCUACAUCCAUGUCCUUGGAGAUUAACUUUACAGGUUUUUUUUUUAAAAAAAACAGAGCCUUCAGUGGGCCUGUGGCCAACAGCAGGAAGCAGGUGGUUCCGCGGGGACCCGGCAGCCCCGCAGCUGAGGAGAAAGGGGCACCUCCUCAGCUGUGCAGGGACCCCGGUUUCCUACGGGGGAGAUCGCCCUUCCCCACUGCUGUCGGAAGUUCGCGUGUGCCUGGGAGACAGUGGAAAGGCCCCGCACAGGCGCCCCGUUCAUCAGUGAGGUGCCUUUCAUGCAAACCUGCCCUCUCUGCCGUUUAUUCGGAGGAGCUUCACCCCUCGAGCAGGUCUUCUCUGAUGCUGGCCUGACGAUGGUUCGGGCCGGGGAUUGCCCUGGGGGUGGAGGCUCUCCCUCGCCGGCCCCUCCCCCUGGCCUGCCCUCCCAGCCUGGCCCGGCGGCAGCAGGGAUCCCGAGGAGCGCCCCCCACUCCCGCACCUCGAGUCCUGAAAUGUGCUCAGCUUGCUGCAUGUCCGUUUCACCUCAGAAAAGCUGUCGGGAGACCUCCUUGUGUCCUUGGGGCGAAGGUACAACCUGCGGCUGCCUACGAUGCAUUUAAAAAAAAUCCUGUCUGGGAGCUUCCCUGAAAGAAUCCACCUGCCCGUGCAGGAGACAUGAGUUGGAUCCCUGGUUCAUGGAGCAACUCAGCUCAUGUGCCAAAGCCACUGAGCCCACAGACGGCAGAGCCCGUGCUCCGCAGCAAGAGAAGCCGCUGCAGCGAGCAGCCGGGCACCACAAGAGGAGGACCCUGCUCCCCGCAACCAGAGGAAAGCCUGGGCAGCAACAAAGACUCAGCACGGC
ensembl:lncRNA